GGUCUCUGUGGGCCAGACUGUGAACGUGACUCCUGCUGGUAUGUAGCGCUAUUCCCGCUGAACCUGAGGAGCUGCAAAAGUCCCUGCCAUGGAAGCAUUGUGCUUGACUGACUCGGGCUUCCAAGGAAGAGAGGAUGCACAGGCAAAUCCUAAAGCUUUCCAUUCAAUUAGUGAACACCCCUGCUGCUGGCCAUAGGAAUGAACUACAGCUGAAAUGACUAAAAUACUUGAAACGGUUAUUCUACCUCACCCUUGCUUCAGCUGCUGGCAACCAUUAGACUGUUUGUCUCUUCUUUGUCGAACUGGCAUUGCUGGAAGCAACACCACUGGCAUGACAAUGAUUGACAGGAGACACUGCACUGAGAGGCACUAAUUGGGUGAAACAGGAGCAGCAGACCACAGCUCACUGGGCAGUCUCCAGGAAAGGUGAGGGGGCUUGUAAAGCGACCUGGACUCCCUCCUGACAGGGAAAGGACUAGAUGUGAGGGCUGAACAAGAGAGGAAGGAAAUGACUGUGUGAUCUAUAACCCCAAGCAGACAUACAAGCUUGUGUUAUCGAGUCAGCUCUUUGCCGUGGAAGGAAAUGAUGUGAGUGACUAUUCUUUUUGGAUUAAAAAAUGAGAAUUACUGUGGUGCCUGAAAGCAUGAGAGAGCUCUUUGCAUGCCCUAUCAUCUGGAACAUGCUACCUUCCUUUCCAUCCUCUAUGCUGUCACAUUUUUCACAUCGUGGCUCGGUUCUUACUAGAAAAUCUCAUGGAACACUUCUUCAUUUAUCCCUGCAUGGACUGCAUUUUCUCUUUCUCUUGGAAACAUACUAUUCAGAUCCCUUUGACAAUUACAGCAGCUGUUUAAAAACAGCCAAGAUGGUACCUCUUAAUCCAGCUGCUUCAAUAGAUAAAUAGACAAUUCAUUGCCCAAAUGAGUAUGACUACACAGAAAUAAAGUAAAAUAACACCAUCAUCAAGAAAAAGGCUUUGAGAACCUCUGUGCCACCUCAUUUUAAACAUAAGCUUAAAUGCUAGGCUUGAUCCUGACCUGGCUGUAUGUGCCUGUUAUUCUCUCUCGACAUUCCUUACAGAAACAUGGGCAGGCAGCUCACCCUUGCAGUGGAAAGAAAAGGGUGUAUAGUACAGGAGAAACACUGUCAUUCUCUAAUAUUCACAACCU